CUACGGGCGGCUGCAGUGAGGAAUAUUGCGCAAUGGGGGAAACCCUGACGCAGCGACGCCGCGUGGAUGAUGAAGGCCUUAGGGUCGUAAAAUCCUGCCAGGUGGGAAGAAGUGGAUAUAGAUUAAUACUCUAUUUCUUUGACGGUACCACCAAAGGAAGCACCGGCUAACUCCGUGCCAGCAGCCGCGGUAAUACGGAGGGUGCAAACGUUGUUCGGAAUUACUGGGCGUAAAGCGCGCGUAGGCGGUUUGUUAAGUCAGAUGUGAAAGUCCAUGGCUCAACCAUGGAAGUGCAUUUGAACUGGCAGACUUGAGUACUGGAGGGGGUGAUGGAAUUCCCGGUGUAGAGGUGAAAUUCGUAGAUAUCGGGAGGAAUACCGGUGGCGAAGGCGAUCACCUGGCCAGAUACUGACGCUGAGGUGCGAAAGCGUGGGGAGCAAACAGGAUUAGAUACCCCCGUAGUC
rnacentral:rRNA from 1 species